rnacentral:rRNA from 1 species
GAUGAACGCUGGCGGCGUGCCUAAUACAUGCAAGUCGAGCGAACGGACGAGAAGCUUGCUUCUCUGAUGUUAGCGGCGGACGGGUGAGUAACACGUGGAUAACCUACCUAUAAGACUGGGAUAACUUCGGGAAACCGGAGCUAAUACCGGAUAAUAUUUUGAACCGCAUGGUUCAAAAGUGAAAGACGGUCUUGCUGUCACUUAUAGAUGGAUCCGCGCUGCAUUAGCUAGUUGGUAAGGUAACGGCUUACCAAGGCAACGAUGCAUAGCCGACCUGAGAGGGUGAUAGGCCACACUGGAACUGAGACACGGUCCAGACUCCUACGGGAGGCAGCAGUAGGGAAUCUUACGCAAAGGGCGAAAGCCUGACGGAGCAACGCCGAGUGAGUGAUGAAGGUCUUCGGAUCGUAAAACUCUGUUAUUAGGGAAGAACAUAUGUGUAAGUAACUGUGCACAUCUUGACGGUACCUAAUCAGAAAGCCACGGCUAACUACGUG